rnacentral:rRNA from 1 species
CCCUUAGAUGUUCUGGGCCGCACGCGUGCUACACUGAGUGGAUCAGCGGGUCAGGUUGCGCGAAAGCGUUUCCUAAUCUUUAAAUCCGCUCGUGAUGGGGAUUGACGGUUGCAAUUUUCUGUCAUGAACGAGGAAUACCUUGUAAGCGCGGGUCAUCAUCCCGCGCUGAAUACGUCCCUGCCCUUUGUACACACCGCCCGUCGCUCCUACCGAUUUGGUGUGCUGGUGAAAUGUUCGGAUCGGCCGUUUGUCGCGGUUUCCGCGGCUCGUGGCUGAGAAGUUCAUUAAACCCUCCCACCUAGAGGAAGGAGAAGUCGUAACA